AUGAAGUAAAACACUUUUCUUCCUUGCCAACCCAAAAGCUGGCCUCACACUAAGUUUUUGGGCUAAUAACUUGGGCUUUCACCACAAUUGCAUGACAUCCAGUAUUCAUACACGUGUCGUCAUUGCAAAGCACAAGUUCAGGGUUUUGGGGUGCUUUCAAAAGUGCUAAUAUACCUUCUGAGUAUAUGACAACAUAAAAUGUUUGACUACGUAUUUUGCAUAAAGGCGCUUAUGAGUCGAAGUCAUUCUGGAAUAAAAAAAAUGUCUACAUAUUUAUCCUUAACGCACUUCUAGCAAAAACACUUACGAACAAAAUUGUUUUCAACGAAAACAUCCCCAAAACGAGCUUGUUGGAUUAACCUAAGUGGCUAAAAUAUGUGAUAAAUUCAGUUUGGGAUCCUGAAAUAAACAUAUCUAAUUUCACUCAUAUCCAUCUGCUCUUUCCUUUGCCAGGUCAUGAAGUUUGAAGCACGCAUGGACGUUGGCUGGCUGAUUGGCCCACCCACAAAGCCAGAAGUCGGCUUGGCCUAAUAUUUUGGUGGUUGGUUUGGUUCUUGUUGUCACCAACUUAACCAUUGCAAUUCCAAUCCUAUAUCUUUUAGGUGGCCACACCAAUCUCUUAAAGCAUCUCUAAUGGUGUAGACAAAUUGAGUAGGCAAAUCCAUUUUGAUGAGUACGUACAUAAGAACUAGCUCUAAUGAUAAUUGAGUUUUCAAAUUUUGCCUAUUCUUCCAAAGUAGACAAUGUUGCCUACAAUACUAUAAGUAGACAAAUCGACCCUACAUCUCUUUUUAUAAUAAAAUACUAGAUGGAGCCUACACACUAUGUGUGUGUAAAUAUUAAAAAAAUAAUAAAAAAGGAAAACUUGAUACAAUUCUAACUUUUUGAGCCAAUAUUAGGAAUAGACCAAUUUAUUAAAAUAAGUCCAAUCCCUUAUGCUUACGAUUAUUUUAUUAUCUAUGUUAUCUCCUUAAUAAUAAUUUCUUCUUCCUACUCUAAACCCCAUUUAUAGGUUUUAUUUUUAAUUUUUAUAAUGUAUAACCGGUUAAUUGUAUUUAUCUUAUCCCAAUUUUCUUGCCCCUCUUUUCUAUGUCACAAUCUUAAUCAUUUUCGAAUUGAAAGUUUUAUAUCUUAUAUGUGUUAUUUCUCAUUGAUUUGCAUUUUUUUGUAAAUUUAAAUUUAAACAAAGAAAAUGGAUAAUAUAUGGCUCUCUUAAUUGCGGUCUGUUUCUUGAUUACAUAGUUGGAGAUGAGGUGGUUGAGAUUAAUUGUCUUGAAACUACGAUGAUAGAAGUUACGAGAUGACAGGUGGGCUUAGGGUGGAUCUAGAGACGUGUUCAUCGAACUGCAUGUGUGUGGCUAAGGUUGGGGUUUGAGUCAAGGACAAGGCAGGUGAUAGGGUGGGUGGGUUGUUUAAGUUUUUUUUUUCUUUCCAUAUUGAAGUUAUAUUUCCUCUUAUUUUAAUUGGAAAAAAUAAUAGAUUAUAAUAUUUUUAUGAGUUUUUUAUUAAAGAUUAGAUGAAAUGUCCUUGAUUGGCUAACAUUGAUAAACGCGAAGACUAAAUUAGCCAAAUUAAAACACGGGGAUUAAAUUGGCCAAAUGACUAUAACAAGAAUCAUUUUAACAUUUAAACCUUUAAAAAAAAUAUAAAACGAGAAAUGAAAGUGGAGAAAAGAUAAUACUCGACUUAACCUAAUAACUAUGUUGAUUCUUGGAGUGUGAUAUCCACACACCCUUUUUUACUUCUCAUACACUUUUUUUUAAUUUUUGUCUAUUGAUCAUCUUCAAUUCAUUCGAUCCGACGACCGAAAAUUAAGAUGUGUGAGACGCACCCCUAAUUCUUUGGACCCAAAUCGAAAUUCCCCUAACCACCUAGUAGUAUGGUGUAGUGGUAUUUAUCUUCAUUUGUAAGUGAGAGGGCUUAGGUUCCGUUCGAUUUUCGACAAAGGCGAGUUUGAACCACAUUAUUGCUAGCUCAUUGUGAGGCUAAUCCCACACUCUUUCCUUUAGUAUAAACAAUAUCGUUUGUUCAAAAAAAAAAAAAAAAUAAAUGCGCCUAAAAAAUAUGAGAGAGGGAAGUUUUGGAGAGAAAUGAGAGAGAGAGAGAGAGAGAGAAAGAGAGAGAGAGAGAGAGAGAGAACACGUGUCACGUCCCGAUCCCAACAUACGUCGAGAAUCGACACAUGACAAGGAAAAUAACGUUCGUGAAUACGGUAUGUUGAUGCACAAAACCGGAUGUCUUGGAACAACGUAAAUCCGACCGUGAAUCUGCAUGAAAUGUAAAUGACAUAAGAUGUAUCGUGGUUCACCCCAAGGUUUGGGCUACGUCCACACUGAAUAUGUAUUUAUCUGAGAGUAUUUGUGAGAGAAUGAACUCUGUGAGUGAAGAGCUUUGAGAGGGGAUGAGAAGGCUCCAGAAAUUGGCCUCCGAGAGUGAGAGUCAGCUCCCCUAGAAUGAGGGUAGGAGUCCCCUUUUAUAGAAUAAGGGGCUCCUCCUCCUUUACAAAGUAUGGGCUUUAGUGUGAGGCCCAAAUACAAGGCCCAAGGCCCAAAUAUACGAGGCCCUAAAUAUGGUAUAAACAGUAGUCCCCCAAGUCUUCAGUCAAGAGAGUCUUUUGGCUGGAGACUUGAAAUUCAGUCCAUGUGUGGGCCGAAGUAACUGAUGCUCGAUAUGAGGCGGUGCCCAAUCUGAAAUGAUGCUCAACUAGAAGUAGCACAUGCUGUGAGGCUGCUCGGCUCGUGGCUUAUGUUGCCUUGGUUAGCUCGACUUGCGGCGUUUGAAGGUGAGGGAGUCCCUUUUAUAGAAUAAGGGCUCGCUCCUCAAUACAUGAAUGAUGGGCUAGAGUUGAUGCUCUCUAAUGAUGGUGAGGGAGUCCCUUUUAUAGAAUAAGGGUUCACUCCUCAGUACAUGAAUAAUGGGUGCUCUCUAAUGAAAGUGAGGGAUUCCUUUUUAUAGAAGGAGGGCUCACUCCUCAAUACAUAAGUGAUGGGCUAGAGUCCCCCAAAUAUUUUUCAUGAGGCCCAGUUGAGGCCCAAUAUAUGGUACAUAAUGUAGUCCCCCAAGUCUUCGGUUAAUAGAGUCUGUUGGCUGGAGACUUCAAAUUGAAUCCAUGUAUGGGCCGAAGUGGCGGUUGUUCGGAGGCGGUCUUUGUAGACCAUGCACUGAAGCUUUGUAAGUGAAGCUUUGCAAGUGAAGCUUUGAAGCUAUAGCUCUGUAAAUGAAGUCUUUGAAGCUAGAGCUCUGUAAAUGAAGCUUUUGAAGCUAGAGCUCUUGUAAAUGAAGCUUUUGAAGCUAGAGCUCUUGUGAAUGAAGCUUUUGAAGCUGAUUUGACAUGAGUGAUGCUCAUGCAUGUUUAUGUUGAUUGACAUGAGUGAUGCUCAUGGAUGUUGACAUGAGUGAUGCUUAUGGAUGUUUAUGUUGAUUAUGAUGAUGCUCACAUGGAUGUGAGUGAUGCUCAUGAAUGUUGACAUGAGUGAUGCUCAUGAAUGUUUAUGUAUGAUUGGAUGAGGGAUGCUCAUGAAUGUUUAUGUAUGAUUGACAUGAGUAAUGCUCAUGUAUGACUUGAAGUACUGGGCGUACUUUUGAUCACCUGAUUGGUGCUAUUUUGGGCUUAUGGGCCUUCGUCCUCCACAACAUGCCAGCCCAUUUAUUUUGGGCUUUGCCUUUUUUUUUUUUUUUUUUUUUUUUUUUUUUUUUUUACCCUCUGAUGGGAUUUAUACAUAUUACCCUCUGAUGGGGUUUAUACAAAUGUCUCCGAAAGAUAAAAUAAAUUACAUCAUUCUGGUGGGGUGUUUAUUCCUUGCUUUUGCUUUUGUUUCCUGCAGCUCAUUUGAUUGCUUUUGUUUUCUGCUUUUGUUUUUUUUUUUUUUUUUUUUUUUUUUUUUUCUGCUUUUCUUUCUGCUUUCUGCUUUUGCUUUUGUCUCCCGCAGCUCACUCGUGGCCUCGGUGGAGCACGUGGCUCCUUUAAUGCUGAAGGGAUGGCCUAGUUGCUUUCGGCCUGGUUGUUUUUCUUUUGCUUUUGCUUUCCCCAUCCUUGUUUUUCUUUCUUUUGGCUGGCAGAUGGUAGACAGUCAUCAUAUCAUUAAUAAUAAUAAUAAAAAAUCCUUAUCUUCAAGAGGUCUUCCACUGCUUUUUUGUAAGAUUUUUCUGAAGCCAUCUCGAAUUCUUUGGGCUUGUGUGGCUAUCCCACCACCGAGAAUACCUGAGUCUAGAGUCUGCUUGCGACGCGGUAGUAAUAACUCAAGCCAAUAACAGCACCACCUUCGAUGCCGCUUUUAUGAUACUCAAAUCCACAAACCAACAAAAACCGAAACCAAGAUGGAUAAUUCAUCAAAGGACCUAAUACCAGGCUCUAUACCACCAAAAUUCAGUAAUUCUCAGUAGGAUGAAGCCUCGUCCCUCACCUUCUCCAUAAUUUCAUGGGUCUUCGGAUCCGAAACCGCGAGCAGUUGGUUCCCCCAAGAUUGGAUCGUCGCUCGCCUCUCCUCGAGCCCACCAGACUUAACCGCCAAACAUUUCGACGGGUUCACUCUGAAACCCGGACCGCCACAUUCUCCGCAUUCUCCACCCUCUCCAACGGCGCAGUCAGAUGCACGUUCAGAGGCCGAUUCAACGCGAUCCCAAACAUCUUCCGGCGACCGUUGGAUCUUCGCCAGGUGUCUCUUCCGGCGAUAUCACCAUCCCAUGAUAUUGUCACAUCUGUAAAGACUGCUGGGUCUUCUGGGUAGAUUCCGAUUGACCCGGAACGACAUCGUUUUGGGUGGGAACGGUAGACAUGGCAGCGGAGAAAGAAUGGCAAGGAGUGCAGGAUGCGCUUCUGCUCCUGAUAAAGUUAAAAUCUGCACAAAAAUUCUUGGAAAAGUUGAGGAAUGUAGAAGGACUGAGGCGCAUUUCAUGGGAUGGGCCAGGUGCGUUGAAUCUUUCUCUAAACCCAGCGAAUUGCAUCAACCAUCGGAACAGACCCGACUUCUCCAGCCCAAAGUUCCAAUCACCCAGCUUCGCCGCCUGCUCCGGAUGAAGUUGGCGGGAUCUGUUAUCAACCAGGAUGAAGUCGUUGCCGAGGCCGUGGUGCUUGACGAAGUGGCCAAAUCCAGCUUCUCUGCCGUCGAGAAAGGAGGGACUCCAUCGGCAGAGAGACUGAUUGUAGCUGUUAAGGAGCAAUUCUGAUAUCGGCGGCCAUGGGAAGGCGUCACGGAGGCUUUGGGCAAGGAGAAGAUGGGCAGUGUUGGCGGCGGAGGUGGAGAGCAGAGCGUAUCCCCAUGGGGAUAAGUGUGAGAGGUCGAGCUGGGUGACUGCCGUGAAGCAAAUCGGGAUCCUGUGCAGCAUCCACCGCUUGACCUCGCCGCUCGGAUUUGUUCUUGUUUUUAUGUUUUUUGUUUCUGCUCGAUGGGGUUCUGAUGCCCCUUGCUUUCCUCCUAGCCUUCCUCUUUGCUAAGAAAUCAAGUCCAGAGAGUCGUUGUCUCACAUGUAUAUAUGUGUGUGUUGUUUGUUGCGUGCGGCCGAGCUCACGGUGGAGAGAUCCAUUGUUGACCCCAGUUAUUUGAUUAUUGUUUCGCAAAAGCAAAAACCCUCGAAGAUCUGUGGGCUUGUGAGGAGUGUUUGAGAUUUGGAUAUUUUCUGUUUCUGGGUUUUUGUAGAUUUUGCAGAUUCACAGUGGAGGUGAAAAAAUGAAAGAGAACCGACACUUUUUGUAUCGAUUCCCACAGACGGCGCCAAAUGUUGAUGCACAAAACCGGAUGUCUUGGAACAACGUAAAUCCGACCGUGAAUCUGCAUGAAAUGUAAAUGACAUAAGAUGUAUCGUGGUUCACCCCAAGGUUUGGGCUACGUCCACACUGAAUAUGUAUUUAUCUGAGAGUAUUUGUGAGAGAAUGAACUCUGUGAGUGAAGAGCUUUGAGAGGGGAUGAGAAGGCUCCAGAAAUUGGCCUCCGAGAGUGAGAGUCAGCUCCCCUAGAAUGAGGGUAGGAGUCCCCUUUUAUAGAAUAAGGGGCUCCUCCUCCUUUACAAAGUAUGGGCUUUAGUGUGAGGCCCAAAUACAAGGCCCAAGGCCCAAAUAUACGAGGCCCUAAAUAUGGUAUAAACACGGUAUAAGUUACGAAAUGAAAUAUUUUAACUGGUAACCCAAAAUAAUGAAAAGGUGGCUAAGUUCUCCACAAAAUAUUUACAAAUAUAUACAUCCCAAAAAGAAGCAUAAUCUUUGCUUUACUAAGAACAAGUAUGAGGUGCUCAAAAGAAAGUCCUAAAAGAUAAAGUACAAGAGUGAAACAAGGGUAACCUAACGCUCCAAGUCUCUGAUAACUGCACUGCUACCCCCACCUACAAACUUCUCGGAGUCUACUUAAACCUGUCACUUGUACGAUCAGUGCCUGCACUAUCGGAAUGGUGCACCAGGCAAACAACAACCUGGAUAAGUUGCAAGUUUAUGAGAAUGACAAUAAUAUCAAGUAUGUGAGAAUAAUGCUAAUGCCAACCAUCAAACACAGUUUACAUAUCUUGAAUAUAAAUCAUUCAUAAGAAUUCAAUACUAACUUUUGUAAACCCCGAAAAGUCACCUAGACAUCCAACAGUUCGUCUGAAACCAAUCACAACAUCUCACAACCAUCUUCUCAUACAACACAAUGAAAAGUAGAGUUAAAACGAUACAUUUUGGCCGAAGCCUACACCUUUGAAGCCAUCUCAAUUCAAAUUCAAUAAAUCCCAAGGUGAGUAAGAUUCUGGACCUUCACUCAACGGAAUCGCGAAAUAUGAGGGAUUCCAGACCAUCUCUCUACGGAAUCCAAGUGGAUACGAUUCCGAACCCUCACUCAACGGAAUCGCUAGGUACAAUACAUAACAAUAACUACAUGAAACCCAAGUUAGAUACGAUUCCGGAACAUCACUCAAUGGAAUCGUAGAAUAAAAGGGAUUCUGGACCAUCUCUCAAUGGAAUUCGAGUAGAUACGAUUCCGGACCACCACUCAAUGGAAUCAUAGAAGACCAACAAACAGAAUGUAUGACGGCUCAAAGAAAUGAGACAAGCAUAGGCUACUUAAUUUACAAAAACUCAACAAAGGGAAAUUAGGCACAAUUACUAAAUUUAGAACCAAUCACCGAAGCGGAAGGUGAAACAAUAUCGAAGCAACAAAUCCCCAUCAUAAUGGUUAACGGUCAUUACUAGUCCCCACAUUAAUCUCAACAUGCCAAUCAUACAAAUCAAACCACAUUUCCAAUAUACCUGGAGUCCGUGCUAAUGUACCCUAACACGAUAGUCAAGGCAUCACGUUUUAUCACCGCCUGUGGCCGAGUCCAAUUUGGCUAGGAAGGCCCUCAAAUUGGCUCGUACCCAACGAAACCCUAGGGUGGGUGUUCUUCAAUUCGGCUUCCUUGGUGUUCCAACACCCCAACCACCAGUUGGGUUUUGUUCUUCGGUCCAAGGGAAGUUGAUUAAGGGUGAUGGUGAAUGGUGAUACUCUCCAGAAUGACAAUUCGUCGUCGAGAACCCCCGGGUUCUCCUAUGGAGUUCUACAUGAAAUAAACCUUAAAAACCCUUGAUUUUUCCGUGGGAAUGGAAGGAGGAAGGUAGUUGAGCAAGUUGCAAGUGAAGGAGAUAAGAAAAUCAGCUGGAAAAUGGAGGAAUUGGCCGAUUGAAAUUGGUUGGUGGAGCUUAAGCCUCACGGUUUCAAGAAAUAUGGGGGAGGGGGGGAAUAAAUGUGGCCCUUCCUUUUUUUUCCAAAUGGGUCCUUUCAUACCCUUUAAAAAAAUCUGACAGGUUCCCUCUUUUCUAUUUUUUUUCUUCUACUAACUUAACUUAACAUUUAACCCAUGGUUCCCACAAUCUCUAGUUCACAACUUCAAAUGUCCGUAACUAUACCGUUAUAAUUCGGACUCGCAAACAGCUUUCGUCUAUGCGUUUGUGGUUUCGAGAUCUAUUUACAAACACUAGUUGUAACUUCGAAAUAUCAACGAAAGAUAAAGAUUGAUUAUGAAACUUCCAACUCAAUAACUAAUCAAUUACUAAACUUAUAAUUAAUGGAAUUAAAAUUAACUAAUAAAGAUAACGUAAUCGCGAAAUACAAAUUUAAAUUAUGAAAUACGUAAUAAAUGGUGAAAUUUCGGGGAUGAGAUUUCACAUCCUUCCCCCCUUAAAAAGAGUUUAGUCCCCUAAACUCAACGCAGCUGAGUCAAAUAGAUGGGGAUAAUGUUGGCGCAUCUCUACCUCUGGUUCCCAAGUUGAUUCCUCCGCACCAUAAUUAUUCCAUAAUACGCGUACCAAUGAAAUAGUCUUGGUGCAGAGAGCUUUCUCUCUCCGAUCAAUAAUUUCAACGGGGUACUCCUCAUAAGUGAGAUUCUCCUUAACCUGAAUAGGCUCAUAAGAAAUGACAUGGGAAGGAUCACUACGAUACCUCUGGAGUAAGGAUACGUGGAACACCAGGUGAAUGUGAGACAACUCUAAAGGUAGUGCAAGGCGAUAGGCAACUUCGUCCACUCUCUCCAAUACCUCAAAUGGUCCAAUGUAUCUAGGACUAAGCUUCCCUUUACGCCCAAAUCUAAAAACACAUUUCAUAGGUAAAACCCGUAGGAAAACAUAUUCUCUAGUAUCAAAUGUUGCCUCACGUCUGUGGGGAUUAACAUAACUCUGUUGUCUACUCUGAGCAGCUAAUAAAUGUGCAUGGAUCAUAGAAAUCUUUUUAGCAGCAAUCUGAAUUAACUCUGGUCCCAAUAAUCGACGCUCUCCUACCUCGUCCCAAUACAAAGGAGACCUACACUUUCUCCCAUAAAGUGCCUCAUAUGGUGCCAUCUGAAUACUAGCCUGGUAGCUGUUAUUAUAAGCAAAUUCAAUCAAAGAUAAAUGUUUAUCCCAACUACCUUUUAAAUCAAGUAUGCAAGCUCGAAGCAUAUCCUCCAAUGUCUAAAUUGUGCGCUCUGACUGGCCAUCAGUUUGAGGAUGAAAAACUGUGCCAAAACUCAACUUAGUUCCUAUAGCUUUAUGAAGGCUACCCCAAAAGCGAGAAGUGAAACAAGGAUCACGAUCGGAAAUGAUGGAUACCGGGACUCCAUGCAACUUAAUAAUCACAUUUAAAAAUAGUCUGGCGAGUCGCUUAAGAGUAUAAGUUUUCUCAACAGCAAUAAAGUGAGCAGAUUUCGUCAAUCGAUCGACGAUCACCCAAAUGGAAUUAUGUCCCUCACGAGUCCUCGGUAAGCCUGUCACAAAAUCCAUGGUAAUGUGCUCCCACUUCCACUCGGGAAUAUGGAGUGACUGAAGUAAGCCUGCAGGUCGCUAAUGCUCUGCCUUAACUUAUUGACAAGUCAAAUAAUGAGCGACAAUCUCAGCAAUCUCUCUUUUCAUAUUUCCCCACCAGAAACUCUCAUGAAGAUCUUGAUACAUUUUUGUACUCCCAGGGUGAACAGAAAAAGGGGAAGUAUAAGCCUCAUCCAUGAUCUCAUUUUGUAGGUUUCUGACAUUCGGAACACAAAGUCGAGUCCCGAAACGAAGUACACCAAUGUCAGAAAUGGUAAAAUCGGACCGAGUACCUGAUCGUACUCCAUCCAUGAUCUGAACUAACUCUGGGUCCUCACCUUGGGUUGCUUGAAUCCGAUCAAUCAACGUAGGUUGUACCGUAAAGGUUGCGAGGAGAUGAUCUCCACUCUGAUCAAUCGGUUCAAUCUCAAUUCUCUUAAGAUCCUCCGCUAACUAACCCAUCCGAAGUGAUAAAGCUGCAACACUAGUUAAGCGUUUUCGACUCAAAGCAUCAACAACUACAUUCGCCUUACCAGGAUGAUAAAGAAUCUGACAAUCAUAAUCUUUCACCAGCUCUAACCAACGUCUUUGUCGCAAGUUUAGCUCUCGCUGGGUGAAAAUAUACUUGAGGCUCUUAUGAUCGGUAUAAAUCUCACAAGACUCCCCAUACAAAUAAUGUCACCAAAGCUUUAAUGCAUAAACCACAUCAGCUAGUUCUAAAUCAUGAGUGGGAUAAUUAAGUUCAUGCGGCUUAAGUUGGCAAGAACCAUAAGCCACAACCCUACCGUGCUGCAUUAGAACGCAACCCAAUCCUUUAUGGUACACAUCACUGUAUACUACAAAACCUCCAGAACCAGAUGGAAGCGUAAGAAUAGGUGCAGAGACGAGUCUCUUCUUUAGCUCCUCAAAACUAGCCUUACACUCAUCAUUCCAGACAAAAAGAGUAUCAUUCAUUGUCAGUUUUGUCAGAGGAAACGCUAACGAUGAGAAACCUUCAAUAAAUCUGUGAUAAUAUCCAGCUAAGCCCAAAAAACUCCAAAUCUCAGUCACCGUGGUAGGUCGACUCCAACCGACAACUGCCUCCACCUUGGUAGGAUCCACCUGAAUACCAUCCAUUGAAAUCACAUGGCCAAGGAAUCUAACAUUUUCAAAUCAAAACUCACAUUUGCUAAACUUAGCCUACAACUGAUGAUCUCCCAUUGUCUGCAAAACAAGUCUUAGAUGUUCCCCAUGUUCAGUUGCACUCCGUGAAUAAAUCAGAAUGUCAUCGAUGAACACUACCACAAAUUGAUCAAUAAAAGGUCGGAACACCCUAUUCAUCAAGUCCAUGAACGCAGCAGGGGCAUUAGUCAGACCAAACGAUAAAACCAAGAACUCAUAAUGGCCAUAGUGAGUCCGAAAAGAUGUCUUUGCUAUAUCCACAUCUCGGAUCCUUAACUGAUGAUAACCAGUCCUUAAAUCUAACUUACUAAAAUAUUGAGCACCUUGAAGUUGAUCAAACAAGUCAUCAAUCCUCAGUAAAGGGUACUUAUUUCAAAUUGUCACCUUAUUAAGCUCACGAUAAGCAAUGCACAAACGCAUAGAUUCGUCCUUUUUGUUCACAAAAAGAACAUGAGCACCCCAUAGUGAAACAUUAGGGCGAAUUAAACCUUUAUCCAACAAUUCCUGUAAUUGUACCUUAAGCUCCCUAAGUUCCAAAGGUGUCAUUCGAUACAAAGCUUUAGAGAUAGGCGUGGUCCCUGGCAUAAGAUCAAUGGUAAACUCAAUUUCCCUUACUGGGGGCAAGCCAUGCAGCUCAACAGGAAACACAUUAGGAAACUCCUUAACUACCGGGAUGGCGUCAACCUCACUAUUUCCUUGAUCAACGGCCAUGACAUGAGCUAGGUAACCCUGACAACCAUGUUUCAUAAAUCGCCUAGCCUUAGUGGCUGAUAUCAUUACUGGUGGUGGAAUAGGUUUACGAUCCCUAACAAACUGAAACUGAGGUUUACCAAGUAGUCGAAAAGUUUCCACUUUCUCAAAGCAAUCAAAAUUCGCGCGAUACAAGAAUAAGUAAUCCAUGCCUAUAAUGACAUCUAAAUCUCGCAUUAGAAGAAUCAUCAAAUCCAUUGUUAUUUCACCUGGGUCCACAUGAGCCUCACACGAUCGAACUACUUGAUUAACAACAUAAGGUCCCGAAAAAGAUGAGGAAAUAAAGUACGUCACAUCCAUCAUCUCUAUAGGUUUAUCCAAAGACUUCACAAAAUUAUUUGAUAUAAAUGAGUUCUCGACCCCAGGGUCAAAUAAUGUUUUAGCAGGGAUUGAACCAAAAUGAAUAGUACCUGUAACUAUGUUCAGUUCCGCCUCGGCCUCCAAAGUAGAUAAUGCACAAACUCUGCCAACUCGCUGAGUACCUGCAUGAGACGUCCCAGCUCCACUGCCUUGGGCCCCAACUCGCUAAGAAUUUCCACCAGACUGCUUACCACUCUGCUGCCCAGUCCUCUGCUGGCCCGAGCUUGAAGGUGCUCCAGCAUGCCUACUCUGUGCUGAAGAUGCCACUGAACCCCUAACACUAGCAGCAGGUCUGCCAGCAUCACCAGCGGUAAUCUGGGGACAAUCACGAAAGAAGUGACCAAUCUUACCGUACCGGUAACAAGUCUUAGAACUGGCUCUACAUGUGCCACUGUGUCGGCGUCUGUAAUGAGCACAAAUUCGUGAAAGUGUCUUAUGUGACUGGUCAUAAGAUCCUUUGGAAAGGCUCUCUGAAUGGCCUUCAGAAGAAAUCUGGUUUCCACGCCUGAACGCGCUCUAAGUACCUCCUUGGAAAUGACACUGAUGACUCGUCCAGUAAAAUGUUGGGAGCCUCCUCUAGAAGUAACCUGAAAAUCUCCAUGUGAAGUAUCUUGAUACCCACUAUGUGACGAUCAUUAAGAACCACCAAACGAAAACUCCUGGCACUUUCGGAACCUACCAGAAAACACAUCAGAUGAUUGGCCCUUUGGUCGGCCUCUCUUUCUCUGUUCCCCACUCUCUCGUGCAUCGCGCCCCUCAUUAAUCUCAGCUAUGUGUGCACGAUCAAUCGCAUGGGCAUAAGAAAGCAAUCCCUGGACCGAUAACAGAUUUCUGAUACUAGGUUUGAACCCCCUAAUAAGUUUCUUCGUGUUCUCAUCUUCAGGAAGAGGCUGAGAGAAACAGUAAAGUCGAGUAAAACGAGCCACAUAAUCAGCAAAUGUAUCAGUUCCCUGCUCAAUAGUGGCAAACUCAGCCUCCAACUUGUCUCGAAAUGACUCUGGGAAGUACUGCUAAAAAAAUGUAGUAUGAAACCGUUCCCAAGUAAGAGGUCCCCUGGCUACUAAUAAUGGACGAGUGAUCUGCCACCACUCGUAAGCCUCACUUGUCAACAUAAACGCUGCAAGAUCAACCUGCUCUUCGGAUGAGCAACGCAAUACAAUGAAAAUUCUGGCGAUCUAAUUGAUCUAGGACUCUGCCGCCCAUGAAUCAGUACUACCAUCGAAAGAAGAUGGCUUAUGGGUACAGAACUCCCCGUACAAAGACUUCUCCCUACCCGGAGUUGUACGAACGUGUGCCUGCAUCAACUGUGUUAAAUCUUCGAUGGCCCGAAAAGCUCCAUCGGGUCCAUCAUAAUCAUGGCUAGCCUCCUGACUAGAACCAGGAGUGCCCUCGUCGGGAACAUCAUCCCCAAACUACUGAGUAGUACCGUGUGGGGUCGUCAUAAUGUCUGAUACAAGAAGAAUUCAACAUAAGCAUAUAAUCAACAUUCGAGAGACGAAUUCACGGACCUAGUUAAGGUUCACUACCUAACCUUCCCAAGGUUUCCUUACUCUAAGGUUAAGGUAUGAAACCCUGAACCUAAGCUCUGAUACCACAAAAAUUGUCAUGUCUCGAUCUCAACAUACAUCAAGAAUCGACACAUGACAAGGAAAAUAACGUUCGUGAAUACGGUAUAAGUUACGGAAUGAAAUACUUAACUGGUAACCCAAAAUAAUGAGAAGGUGGCUAAGUUCUCCAGAAAAUAUUUACAAAUAUAUACAUCCCAAAAAGAAGCAUAAUCUUUGCUUUACUAAGAACAAGUAUGAGGUGCUCAAAAGAAAGUCCCAAAAGAUAAAGUACAAGAGUGAAACAAGGGUAACCUAACGCUCCAAGUCUCUAAUAACUGCACUGCUACCCCCACCUACAAACUUCUCGGAGUCUACUCAAACCUGUCACCUGUACGAUCAGUUCCUACACCAUCGGAAUGGUGCACCAGGCAACAACAACCUGGAUAAGUUGCGAAGUUUAUGAGAGUGACAAUAAUAUCAAGUAUGUGAGAAUAAUGCUAAUGCCAACCAUCAAACACAGUUUACAUAUCUUGAAUAUAAAUCAUUCAUAAGAAUUCAAUACUAACUUUUGUAAACCCUGAAAAGUCACCUAGACAUCCAACGGUUCGUCUGAAACCAAUCACAACAUCUCACAACCAUCUUCUCAUACAACACAAUGAAAAGUAGAGUUAAAACGAUACAGUUUUGCCGAAGCCUACACCUUUGAAGCCAUCUCAAUUCAAAUUCAAUAAAUCCCAAGGUGAGUAAGAUUUCGGACCUUCACUCAACGGAAUCGCGAAAUAGGAGGGAUUCCGGACCAUCUCUCAACGGAAUCCAAGUGGAUACGAUUCCGGACCCUCACUCAACGGAAUCGCUAAGUACAAUACAUAACAAUAACUACAUGAAACCCAAGUUAGAUACGAUUCCGGAACAUCACUCAAUGGAAUCGUAGAAUAAAAGAAAUUCCGGACAAUCUCUCAACAGAAUCCGAGUGGAUACGAUUCCGGAUCACCACUCAACGGAAUCGCAGAAGACCAACAACUAGAAUGUACAACGGCUCAAAGAAAUGAGACAAGCAUAAGCUACUUAAUUUACAAAAACUCAACAAAGGGAAAUUAGGCACAAUUACUAAAUUUAGAACCAAUCACUGAAGUGGAAGGUGAAACAAUAUCGAAGCAACAAAUCCCUAUCAUAAUGGGUUAACGGUUAUUACUUGUCCUCACAUUAAUCUCAACAUGCCAAUCAUACAAAUCAAACCACAUUUCCAAUAUACCUGGAGUCCGUGCUAAUGUACCUUAGCACGAUAAUCAAGGCAUCACGUUCUAUCACCGCCUGUGGCCGAGUCCAAUUUGGCUAGGAAGGCCCUCAAAUUGGCUCGCACCCAAUGAAACCUUAAGGUGGGUGUUCUUCAAUUCGGCUUCCUUGAUGUUCCAACACCCCAACCACCAGUUAGGUCUUGUUCUUGGGUCCAAGGGAAGUUGAUUAAGGGUGAUGGUGAAUACUCUCCAGAAUGACAAUUCGUCGUCAAGAACCCCUGGGUUCUCUUAUGGAGUUCUACAUGAAAUAGACCUUAAAAACCCUUGUUUUUUUCCGUGGAAUGGAAGGAGGAAGGUAGUUGAGCAAGUUGCAAGUGAAGGAGAUAAGAAAAUCAGCUGGAAAAUGGAGGAAUUGGCCGAUUGAAAUUGGUUGGUGGAGCUCAAGCCUCACGGUUUCAAGAAAUAUGGAGGGGGGGGAAGAAAUGUGGCCCUGCCUUUUUUUUUUUUUUUUCCAAAUGGGUCAUUUCAUACCCCUUAAAAGAAAAUCUGACAGGUUCCCUCUUUUCUAUUUUUUUUCUACUAACUUAACUUAACCUUAAACCUAUGGUUCCCACAAUCUAUAGUUCACAACUUCAAACG
rnacentral:lncRNA from 1 species